rnacentral:pre_miRNA from 1 species
AUAUUACUUCCUCCGUUUGGAAAUACUUGUUGAAGAAUGGAGGUAUCUAAAUACAUUUUAGUUCUAGAUACAUUCAUUUCUAUCCAUUUUGCGACAAGUAAUUCUGAACGAAGGAAGUAUUAA